AAGACUCUUAGAAAAAAUUGAAGAAACAAUGCAAACAGAAAAGCUAUGUUACUCCGACUCGGUAUGGGUGUCAGAAAUAGGUACAUAUCUGUGUGUCAGACUUAUGAACUUUCCAAAUAGAAAAUACAGUAAGGAUCUAAAUUUGGACAUGGGUGCUUGGAUACACUAAAUAGGGUAAAAGGGUUGAAGUAAUUUCUCCAAAAGGGGGCAGCCACAAUUAAUUGUCAUCCGCAACCAUUCGACUCUUGAAAUAUUCAAUAUUUUUUU
rnacentral:misc_RNA from 1 species